UACGUAGGGCGCAAGCGUUAUCCGGAAUUAUUGGGCGUAAAGAGCUCGUAGGCGGUUUGUCGCGUCUGCCGUGAAAGUCCGGGGCUCAACUCCGGAUCUGCGGUGGGUACGGGCAGACUAGAGUGAUGUAGGGGAGACUGGAAUUCCUGGUGUAGCGGUGAAAUGUGCAGAUAUCAGGAGGAACACCGAUGGCGAAGGCAGGUCUCUGGGCAUUAACUGACGCUGAGGAGCGAAAGCGUGGGGAGCGAACAGG
rnacentral:rRNA from 1 species